AAACUAACAAGGAUUCCCCUAGUAACGGCGAGUGAAGAGGGAAAAGCUCAAAUUUUGAAUCUGACGUCUUCGGCGUCCGAGUUGUAAUCUAGAGAAGUGUUUUCCGUACCGGACCGUGCACAAGUUCCCUGGAACGGGGCGUCAUAGAGGGUGAGAAUCCCGUAUAUGGCACGGACUACCGGCACUCUGCGAUACACUCUCAACGAGUCGAGUUGUUUGGGAAUGCAGCUCAAAAUGGGUGGUAAAUUCCAUCUAAAGCUAAAUAUAGGCGAGAGACCGAUAGCGAACAAGUACCGUGAGGGAAAGAUGAAAAGCACUUUGGAAAGAGAGUGAAACAGUACGUGAAAUUGUUGAAAGGGAAGCGUUUGAAGUCAGUCGCGUCUGGCGGGAUUCAGCCUGGCUUCUGCCUGGUGUACUUCCCGUCCGACGGGUCAGCAUCGGUUUCGACCGAGAGAAAAAGGCUUGGGGAAUGUGGCUGUCUUCGGGCAGUGUUAUAGCCCCUUGUCGUAUGUCUCGGUUGGGACCGAGGACCGCAGCGCGCCUUACGGCCGGGUUCGCCUCGGUACGCGCUUAGGAUGCUGGCAUAAUGGCUUUAAGCGAC
rnacentral:rRNA from 1 species